GACGAACCGUGCGAACGUUGUUCGGAAUCACUGGGCUUAAAGGGCGCGUAGGCGGCUUGCCAAGUCAGGGGUGAAAUCUUUCGGCUCAACCGGAAAAGUGCCUUUGAUACUGGCAGGCUCGAGGGAGGUAGGGGUAUGUGGAACUUCCGGUGGAGCGGUGAAAUGCGUUGAUAUCGGAAGGAACGCCGGUGGCGAAAGCGACGUACUGGACCUCUUCUGACGGCUGGAGGCGCGAAAGCUAGGGGAGCAAACGGG
rnacentral:rRNA from 1 species